AGCCGCCCAUAUGCAUUCAAGCAGCCUAUUUUGUCCAAUUUUUUCAAUCUUCUUCUUUUGGUUGAUGAGGUGUGGACCUCACAGUUGAAUGUGAUAUCGAGAUCCUUUUCAUCAUGGAAAAGGGAAUAAGAAGCGAUAUGUUUGUUGUGUUUACUUAAUCUUUUGACCUGAACCAGAGGCUCUUUCAAGGACCUAUGUAGUCCUUACGCAUCUCAAUGCUCAUGAACCUAAAAAUGAAAGUGCAUAUGAUAGUGUUUCUGCACUUGGUAAGAUAUAUCAGUUUCAUGGUGAAAGUAUCGACUCAGCCCAGGUUAUUCCAGCUUGGUUGAAUUGCCUUCCUAUAAAAGCUGACUUGGUUGAAGCCAAACUUGUUCACGAACUGUUGUCUUCAAUGGUCGAAAGGUUCUCUGUUCUGAAAAGGAACUUGCUACAAAAGAAACUGCAAAUCGCAUAAUUAAUGUAUUGAGACAUUCUAAGCAAACACUACCACCAGCCAUUAUGGAAUCAACAUGGUCAUAUUUUUUGCCUCAGCAGGAGAUGGAAUUGAAAUCCAUUCUAUCAGCUGAAGAAGAUGCUAUCUUUUAGCUAAUUCAAUGAACUUACUACUCCUGAAAAUUUCUGUUGGAUCAUAAAAUUUUCCCAUGAUUCCUAUUCUAUGUCCUUUGGUAGGUUAUUCCAGCUUGGUUGAAUUGCCUUCCUAUAAAAACUGAGUUGAGAAGCCAAACUUGUUCAAAAACAGCUGUGUACUGUAUUGAUUUGCUCUAGUAUUUAUCCUCAUUUACUGUUUCAAGUCUUGAUUAUGUUACUUUAGUAUUGGUCAUCAAGGCUGCUUACAGGUGUAUGGCAUUCCUAGUAAUUCAACUAAUCUAAUUAUUUAUUUGGUUUUGCCA